AGUGAACGCUGGCGGUAGGCCUAACACAUGCAAGUCGAACGGCAGCACAGUAAGAGCUUGCUCUUACGGGUGGCGAGUGGCGGACGGGUGAGGAAUACAUCGGAAUCUACUUUUUCGUGGGGGAUAACGUAGGGAAACUUACGCUAAUACCGCAUACGACCUACGGGUGAAAGCAGGGGAUCUUCGGACCUUGCGCGAUUGAAUGAGCCGAUGUCGGAUUAGCUAGUUGGCGGGGUAAAGGCCCACCGAGGCGACGAUCCGUAGCUGGUCUGAGAGGAUGAUCAGCCACACUGGAAUUGAGACACGGUCCAGACUCCUACGGGAGGCAGCAGUGGGGAAUAUUGGACAAUGGGCGCAAGCCUGAUCCAGCCAUACCGCGUGGGUGAAGAAGGCCUUCGGGUUGUAAAGCCCUUUUGUUGGGAAAGAAAAGCAGCAGGUUAAUACCCCGCUGUUCUGACGGUACCCAAAGAAUAAGCACCGGCUAACUUCGUG
rnacentral:rRNA from 1 species